GGCUUCGUAGUCUAGAGGUACGAUACUUGCUUUGGGUGCAAGUGGCCCGGGUUCGAUUCCCGGCGAAGCCC
rnacentral:tRNA from 2 species